UCGAUUGAGUUUGAUCAUGGCUCAGGACGAACGCUGGCGGCGUGCUUAACACAUGCAAGUCGAGCGGUAAGGCCCUUUCGGGGGUACACGAGCGGCGAACGGGUGAGUAACACGUGGGUGACCUGCCCUUAGCUCUGGGAUAAGCCUAGGAAACUGGGUCUAAUACCGGAUAUGACUCCAUGACGCAUGUUGUGGGGUGGAAAGCCUUGUGCGGCUAGGGAUGGGCCCGCGGCCUAUCAGCUUGUUGGUGGGGUGAUGGCCUACCAAGGCGACGACGGGUAGCCGGCCUGAGAGGGCGACCGGCCACACUGGGACUGAGACACGGCCCAGACUCCUACGGGAGGCAGCAGUGGGGAAUCUUGCGCAAUGGGCGAAAGCCUGACGCAGCGACGCCGCGUGAGGGAUGACGGCCUUCGGGUUGUAAACCUCUUUCAGCCCUGACGAAGCGAAAGUGACGGUAGGGGCAGAAGAAGCACCGGCCAACUACGUGCCAGCAGCCGCGGUAAUACGUAGGGUGCAAGCGUUGUCCGGAAUUAUUGGGCGUAAAGAGCUCGUAGGUGGCCUGUCGCGUCGGCUGUGAAAACUCGGGGCUCAACUCCGAGCUUGCAGUCGAUACGGGCAGGCUAGAGUGCGGCAGGGGAGACUGGAAUUCCUGGUGUAGCGGUGAAAUGCGCAGAUAUCAGGAGGAACACCGGUGGCGAAGGCGGGUCUCUGGGCCGAUACUGACACUGAGGAGCGAAAGCGUGGGGAGCGAACAGGAUUAGAUACCCUGGNAGUCCACGCCGUAAACGUUGGGCGCUAGGUGUGGGA
rnacentral:rRNA from 1 species